rnacentral:rRNA from 1 species
GUCUAUGGCCAUGCUACCCUGAACAAGCCCGAUCCCGUCUGAUCUCGGAAGCUAAGCAGGGUUGAGCCUAGUUAGUACUUGGAUGGGAGACUACCUAGGAAGACCAGGUGCUGUAGGUG